ensembl:lncRNA
CAGAGGUCAGAGAGUACUUUACAAGUAGCCUAACUGCAAGUUUCUCAACUAUGUACAAUGGCACUGCUGGUUAAGGUAUGCUAUGCGUAGAUCGCUAAUCGCGUGGCGUGUCCAACGCCUGCACCGUGCCUCUGGCUCCGGGUGAUCCCCUUGACCGAACGUCGCUCAAGACCUCCUGGCACCUCUGGAAUCGGGGACACGCUACUUCUACACAUGGAUUAACGCCCGGCUAUUGCAAAGGAUCUAUCAAAGAGGCCGUCUGCGGUCAAGUGAUACCCAUGUCGCACAAACUUCCGAUGGAGGUCAGAGACUCAAAUAAGAACGUCAAGCAGCAGUUCUUGGCUUUUGUUAAACGUGUGGUUCCAGUUUUUCAAGGAUGAUACAAAAAGUUGCUGAUGUGCAGGGCAGCAGGAGUUUGAGUCAUCCCAGAUUACUACCCAAGAUGCCGAGGGGCGGGUGCGGA